rnacentral:pre_miRNA from 1 species
AGUUGGAUAGCUGGGUCAAAUGGUUCCAUUCCAAGUUUUCCAAGGAAUCUCCCAACUGCUUUCCAGAUUGGCUGCACCAAUUUGCAAUCCCACCAGCAAU